rnacentral:misc_RNA from 1 species
UCCAAGGAUUUGAAGCCCUCCCAUCUGAAGUCAGCUCUUCCUCAGAAUUUUUAAUGAUGCAUGCUUUAUUCAAAAACCUUAACUUGUCGCUUGGCAAGGCACACAGUGAUCCGUUUUCAUGGUGGUACAUUUCAGAUGUGCCGAAAGAUGGUAUUUGCAUAUGCCUCUUCUUAUAAGCAGCAACAACAACUUGCACAAGCCCAACACACCAACUUCUGCUCGGCAUCGACUUCAAAUAUAAGGGUGAGGCCGAGAGAAAAGUUAUCAUAGAUAAUAACAUUAGUGCAACCGGGACUCCAAAG